rnacentral:rRNA from 1 species
CCGGAGCUUGCUCCACCGGAAAAAGAGGAGUGGCGAACGGGUGAGUAACACGUGGGUAACCUGCCCAUCAGAAGGGGAUAACACUUGGAAACAGGUGCUAAUACCGUAUAACAAUCGAAACCGCAUGGUUUCGAUUUGAAAGGCGCUUUCGGGUGUCGCUGAUGGAUGGACCCGCGGUGCAUUAGCUAGUUGGUGAGGUAACGGCUCACCAAGGCGACGAUGCAUAGCCGACCUGAGAGGGUGAUCGGCCACAUUGGGACUGAGACACGGCCCAAACUCCUACGGGAGGCAGCAGUAGGGAAUCUUCGGCAAUGGACGAAAGUCUGACCGAGCAACGCCGCGUGAGUGAAGAAGGUUUUCGGAUCGUAAAACUCUGUUGUUAGAGAAGAACAAGGAUGAGAGUAACUGUUCAUCCCUUGACGGUAUCUAACCAGAAAGCCACGGCUAACUACGUGCCAGCAGCCGCGGUAAUACGUAGGUGGCAAGCGUUGUCCGGAUUUAUUGGGCGUAAAGCGAGCGCAGGCGGUUUCUUAAGUCUGAUGUGAAAGCCCCCGGCUCAACCGGGGAGGGUCAUUGGAAACUGGGAGACUUGAGUGCAGAAGAGGAGAGUGGAAUUCCAUGUGUAGCGGUGAAAUGCGUAGAUAUAUGGAGGAACACCAGUGGCGAAGG